rnacentral:rRNA from 1 species
GAUGAACGCUGGCGGCGUGCUUAACACAUGCAAGUCGAACGAAACACCUUAUUUGAUUUUCUUCGGAACUGAAGAUUUGGUGAUUGAGUGGCGGACGGGUGAGUAACGCGUGGGUAACCUGCCCUGUACAGGGGGAUAACAGUCAGAAAUGACUGCUAAUACCGCAUAAGACCACAGCACCGCAUGGUGCAGGGGUAAAAACUCCGGUGGUACAGGAUGGACCCGCGUCUGAUUAGCUGGUUGGUGAGGUAACGGCUCACCAAGGCGACGAUCAGUAGCCGGCUUGAGAGAGGGAACGGCCACAUUGGGACUGAGACACGGCCCAAACUCCUACGGGAGGCAGCAGUGGGGAAUAUUGCACAAUGGGGGAAACCCUGAUGCAGCGACGCCGCGUGAGUGAAGAAGUAUUUCGGUAUGUAAAGCUCUAUCAGCAGGGAAGAAAAUGACGGUACCUGACGAAGAAGCCCCGGCUAACUACGUG